GAUUAACGCUGGCGGCGUGCAUAACACAUGCAAGUCGAACGAUGAAACUUAAAUUAUUUCUUCGGAAUGAGUUUAAGUGGGUUAGUGGCGGACGGGUGAGUAACGCGUGAGUAACCUGCCUUACACAAGGGGAUAGCCGUUGGAAACGACGAAUAAUACCCUAUGAUGUUUCUAUCUCGCAUGAGAUAUUAAUCAAAGUGUUAGCGGGGUAAGAUGGACUUGCGUCUGAUUAGCUAGUUGGUGAGAAAAAAGGCCACCAAGGCCACGAUCAGUAGCCGGCGUGAAAGGGUGUACUGCGACAGUGGGACUGCGACACGGCCCAGACGCGGACGGAGGGCAGCAGAGGGGAAAUUGGCACAAUGGGUGAAACCCUGAUGCAGCGUGGCCGCGGAAUUGAGAAGGCCUGCAGGUUGUAAAAAUCUUUUGUAUAGGAAGAUUAUGACGGUACUAGACGAAGAAGCACCGGCUAAUUACGUG
rnacentral:rRNA from 1 species